AUUGAACGCUGGCGGAAUGCUUUACACAUGCAAGUCGAACGGUAGAGGGGGCAACCCCUCGAGAGUGGCGAACGGGUGAGUAAUAUAUCGGAACGUGCCCAGUCGUGGGGGAUAACGUAGCGAAAGUUACGCUAAAACCGCAUACGAUCUAAGGAUGAAAGCGGGGGAUCGCAAGACCUCGCGCGAUUGGAGCGGCCGAUAUCAGAUUAGGUAGUUGGUGGGGUAAAGGCUCACCAAGCCAACGAUCUGUAGCUGGUUUGAGAGGACGACCAGCCACACUGGAACUGAGACACGGUCCAGACUCCUACGGAAGGCAGCAGUGUGAAAUUUUGGACAAUGGACGAAAGUCUGAUCCAGCCAUUCCGCGUGCAGGAUGAAGGCCCUCGGGUUGUAAACUGCUUUUGUACGGAACGAAAAGGUCUCUCUUAAUACGGGGGACUCAUGACGGUACCGUAAGAAUAAGCACCGGCUAACUACGUGCCAGCAGCCGCCGUAA
rnacentral:rRNA from 1 species